CCGGCUUACAGCAUCAGUGGGGUAUUUUACCAAACGGCAUUUUUGCGCCCUUGAAGUGCACUUUGGGAAGGGGACGCCACUCGAAGAGUCGUUCCAAACAAAAGAUCUGUGUCAUCACAUUUGCCAAGUCUCACCCCAUCCUUCAGAAUGGAUGAAAAAUCUAAAAUAUGAACUAUCAGAUCAGUGAUGGGUGCAGCAGACUUAAGAACAAGGUGUCUGGAAAGUCAAAGAAAGUGAAUAACUCUGCCUGGAAUGAUUCUUACCAUACAAAAUGAUUGGCAUUAAUAUCUUUAUGUAGUAUACCUGUAUUAAAAUGAUCAGUGUGUAUAAUAUAUACCCUGGGGUGGUCAGUUCCUGACAGAGUUUGCCCCACUGUGUAGAAUAACAUGUACAGAUGAGGAGUACACCAUAUUCAGCUGUAUCAGAGGAUGUCUCUUAGAAGUGAAGGCAUUCUCAACAGGCCAGAUCUGUUAUUGGAAAAGCCUUCUAUAGAGGGGUACAUUGCUGUUAUAUUACCUAAAUUUGAGGAGAGUAAGAGCAUCAAAGAGGUCCUUCUGAACAGAGAACAAUAUCAGGAGGUUCUCUCCAAAAGAACAAACCAAAAACAAGAGCCUUGCUG